rnacentral:rRNA from 1 species
CCUACGGGAGGCUGCAGUGAGGAAUAUUGGUCAAUGGGCGGAAGCCUGAACCAGCCAAGUAGCGUGCAGGAUGACGGUCCUACGGGUUGUAAACUUCUUUUAUACGGGAAUAACGCCCCUUACGUGUACGGCUUUGCAUGUACCGUAUGAAUAAGCACCGGCUAAUUCCGUGCCAGCAGCCGCGGUAAUACGGGAGAUCCGGGCGUUAUCCGGAUUUAUUGGGUUUAAAGGGAGCGUAGGCCGCAUGUCAAGCGUGCUGGGAAAUGGCCGGGCUCAACCCGGGCCGUGCAGCGCAAACUGGCGUGCUUGAGUCCGCGGAAGGCAGGCGGAAUUCGUAGUGUAGCGGUGAAAUGCUUAGAUAUGACGAAGAACUCCGAUUGCGAAGGCAGCUUGCUGCAGCGGAACUGACGCUGAUGCUCGAAAGCGCGGGUAUCGAACAGGAUUAGAUACCCGGGUAGUC